UAUGUGAAAAGGGACUUUAAGGACUACAACGGAUUGUAAUGAGCUAAACUUGCUGAUGGAAAGUACCAAAGAGGAUCUGAACUAACCAACAAAUCCAACAAGACCAGCAACAACAAAAACAUGUUUCCUCUUAAAGCGAUAGCUGUGAAAGACCACUGAACUGCAGGAGGGUUACAGUGCUGUUCAAAGACUCUGGAUUGGCUGUCUUGGAGUCCCUAUACCCGUCAUGUUAAAACAGCCUGCAAAGGAACAAUCACAACGAUUCAUUUCAUCCCAUCCCUGACACGCAAUUAAAAACAUAUCAGCUUCAAGUGGACUCAAACUAAACCCAAUGAAUGGCUCUGCUGUAGUCAUCUGUGCUCAAGGAACAUCUUUUGGUGCAACCAUCACCAGAGUUUCAGCAAGACAAUGGACUCCGGAUCCAGAUUCCUGUAGUUCCUCUUGUUGACCAGACUUUCCUCACAAGGCAUGUGCUGAAAACCACAGCUCUGCCCAACACAGUUUCAUAUUACCAGUCAGGCACCAUCAUCUGCAGGGGUGACAAAAACUAAC